CCAUUGUACUCAGUGCAUCAUAUCCUCCCUUGUCUCUCUUCUUGCUCUUCCACUGCGGGCAAUCUCGCUUGAAGUGUCCGAUCUCAUUGCACUUGUAGCAUCGAGCCUCUUUCUUGCUUCUACUCUUUUGGGACUUUGAUCAUCCCCUUGACUUGCCGCUUUCUUUUCCUCUUCCUGACCACUCUCCCAUGGCCAAGCCCUCCUGGGGAGUUCCAUCAUUGGU
rnacentral:lncRNA from 1 species